CACCUCUCAGGGUCACACCUGGAGGGUUUCCAGUUCUCUACCAGUCUUAACUAUGGGAGGGAGAGUCAAGCAGUGGCAUAGUCAUUCCAUUCCUAACUUAGCCAGGGGUUAGCGAGUGGAAGGCAAUCUGCCACAAGU